AAUCGUUUCAAGGUCCAAAGAAAGGUGGAAAGCUUCCAGUUGCAGCUUCUAAGAAGAAGCUGGAGAAGGUGGUGAACCCACUGUUCGAGAAGCGUUUGAAGCAGCUCAAGAUUGGCCUCCGAAGAAAGAUCUGACCAGAUUCAUCAAAUGGCCCGAGGCUGUUCAGAUCUGACUCGCUUGCACAUAUCAUGAGACAUUUGUUUGAGCGUCAAGGGAAAGGGCCUUAUGCUUACCAUGCUGUAAGUUAUUUUGUUAUACUUCACUAAAGUAUUCGUCCAGUUUUUUAAUUGAAUAUUUUGAAAUGUUUGGUUCUUGGAUAAUGAUAUAUGCUAUUUUGUAUUCAUGGUCAUAUGUAACUAUUCAUGUUCAUUGUAUUCUUCGUUUUUCUAGUUGUGAAAUUCGAUCGAGGUUAGAAUUAAUCAUUCUCUUAUCUAGUUGCAUUGCAUUUGUUUAUGUUAAAUUGUGGCUUAUGCUUUAUUGAAUCUGAAGCAAAACACAUCUCUCCUAAUUUGGGGUUCUUCUGUAAUUUUAUUUAUUUAUUUUGGAAGCAAUGUUGUUGGAAUGGGAUAGAAUGAUAGAUGAGUGCUGUGUGUAAAUUGGAUACAUAAUUGCUUCAUUGAUCGCAUAAUGUUACUUAACUUUCUUUUCAUUUGCUUGAUUCUGGUAGCAAUGUUGUCUAAAUUCCAAGUAUGGUACAUUGUAUCCUUCUAUCUUUUUUUUUUAUU